rnacentral:rRNA from 1 species
UACGGAAGGCAGCAGUGGGGAAUAUUGCACAAUGGGCGAAAGCCUGAUGCAGCUAUGCCGCGUGUAUGAAGAAGGCCUUAGGGUUGUAAAGUACUUUCAUCGGGGAGGAAAAAACAAAACUAAUAAUUUUAUUUCUUGACGUUACCCGAAAAAGAAGCACCGGCUAACUCCGUGCCAGCAGCCGCGGUAAUACGGAGGGUGCUAGCGUUAAUCAGAAUUACUGGGCGUAAAGAGCACGUAGGUGGUUUUUUUAAGUCAGAUGUGAAAUCCCUGGGCUUAACCUGGAACUGCAUUUUGAAACUGAAAUACUAGAGUAUCGUAGAGGGAGGUAGAAUUCUAGGUGUAGCGGUGAAAUGCGUAGAUAUCUGGAGGAAUACCUGUGGCGAAAGCGGCCUCCUAAACGAAUACUGACACUGAGUGCGAAAGCGUGGGGAGCAAACAGGGAUUAGAUACCCGU